GGCAUGUACUUUGGCAGGGUCUGGUUUAUACAGAGCUGUCCAUCUGUUUUCUUUUCCCCGGAGCAGCUCGUAGGAAAGGUUUAUCCAUCUUUGCAGGCUGUUGUGGUUUCUUGUGUUUAAGGGGAAAGGUCAGGGUAAUGGAUGCUUUUCCCGUGACUUUUGUUUCUCCGUGAAUUUGCAGGCUUUUGAGCAAUUCUGCAAUUGUUUCAAACCUACUCAUGGAUUCCCCAGCUAUGGAACAGCCUGAAGGAGCCUCAUUGUGAAAGCAAGCACAAGCCUUGGGCUUGCUACUCACAGACCAAGUGGGAAAGCCUGGCUCUGCUGGAGAACUCCACUGAGAAAUUAAUCGUGGGCCAGAUCCUUACCGAAAGCUGCUUGAAGAAAUCUCCUUGCCAUUUCCAGACUGGAGACCUUUUGUUUUCAUUCAGCGAAGUACCAGUUCUGUAAGAGACAGCUUUCUCCACUCAGCAUCUUUGGGACACCCAUCGAUCAACGACAGGGAAUUGAAGUAAGAGGAGGGUGGCUUGGAAAAUAAACUCUUCACAUUCAACUGACGAAGUGGGAAA
rnacentral:lncRNA from 1 species